AAUUUCUAUGUAGCAGGGGGAAAAAAAGAAAAUUGAAGUUAGUCUCUGCCAUGGAUGCAUGGGAAGCCUUAUAUACACAACACUAAAAACAAUAAAAUGUAGGUCUAUUUUGACAUGUCUAAUCGAUGAAUGAUUGGUUGCAAAUUUAAAAUAUGCAAGUCAAGAAGUAAAACUCUGACGUUGUCAUAGUGUCAGUGAAUUAACAUUGGUAUUUUAGUUUGGUCGCUAACAGCCGUUUCUAUAACAAGGCUGAAAAACAUUUACAAUUUCUUUUUAAUUUCUAUUAGAACUAUACAACUUUUAAGUGCUCAUCUUCAGUGCUGAAUCCUAUCAGUGGCCCAUGUUUUGAAGUGUGUGUAGUGGUGUUCUAAAAUUCAAGUAACAGCGGCAUGUUCCCAGUCCCUCCUCUUCAUCCCCAGCUGCUCUGAUCCAAAGGGAGUGGAAACACAUUUUCUAGCUGUCAAACCAUUUUCCUUUAAAAAUAAAAAGCCCCAAAUUGAAUAAAUUAUCUUUUGAACAUAAAAGGAAUAGAUUCUGAAAUUUGAGGAGUGUAAUCCAAAGUUGGUUGCUUUUGCUGGUUUCAAAGGCUAUGUAUUUUUUUUUUUUUUUAAUUUAAAAAGCAAAAUGUACUUAUUUCUAUGCUACCUGGAGUUCUUCGCAAAGUUCUGUCUACUCUUAGUGUGCAUGUGCCCCAAGCACUUAAGCACCUUCUUGGUGAGCAGUGUCCAGUGGGGCAGCAAAUGUAUUUUGAAUGUCCUCAGGCCCCUAUACUGAGGUCAUAAAUGGCAGCAUGGGUCUAAUUUCUGCUUGCAUCUUUCUGCAGAAUCCCACUAUCAUAAGACUCUGGCUGGACAACACAUCAUGAACUCAUUACUGUAAAGGUAAGUAAGUAGCUUUUUACUUACAUUUGAUAGUACCUCAUCUGUUUUUAUAUAAAAUAUGAUUCUUGUUGAUCAUAAUUUUGAAUAGUCAAUCCCUGAAUCAGCGAUACAAACCUCAUCCAAGCCUUGCAAACUUUGUAUGCCUUAUGGGUUGAUAGUGGUCCACAUAGCUGUCUCUUCCCAGAAUGGAUAUACAUGUCAGUAAAGUUUUUGUUGGGAGGGACAUUCUGCUGCAUAGCUUGUUGGGGUCUUUAGCAAAAAAAAAACAGAGGCAUGCUGCUUUCUCAUUACUACACACACAGAUUGUGGCCAACCCAGUACUUGGUAUAGGCGUAAUAUGACAUACUACAGGCCGUAUAUCUGAGAACAUUUAGACAAGUUCUUGCCUAUAGUAUUGUUUGAAGUUGAGUUAUAUGGCUGGAAAAGUUUUCAAAUGUGUAUUGGGACAGAGAGGCUUGGACUUUUGUAUCAAAUCCUUUGAUUUCUAUUUAUUGUAUCAGUGUUCACAAGAACUUUUUAUUGUUUGCCUUUUAGAAAAAAAGGCAACAAAUAGCUGAAGAAUCUGAUGGAUAUAAUUUUCUUCCUGUUGUAGUGAAUUUUCCUGGGUGAGCUGGUUGUCUAGACUUGGAUAGAUUAUGCCCUUGUCUCCUCUUCAGGUUAGCAUCACAAUUGCUAGGAUUCUGCUGAACAUCCCUGCUGGUCUGGACAGAUCAAAGGGUAAAACCUUGUUUUGAAGGUUUUUGUUCAUCAGUUGCUGCAGCCACCAACGAGCCAGAUACUGGAUUCAUAUAAAGCUUUUUUACCCCUAGCAGAUGGCAUUCAAUACCCUGUCUCCAGAUGAUUAUCAAAGAAGUCUGUCAGGACCCAGUAGUCUUAUUGAUGGGGAUUGCCACAGGUUCAGCAUCAAGGCAUAGGAAAAAAAAUCUAGCAGUCUACAUGGAGUUUCCUGCAGCUUUUUUCUGGUGGAAUGUGGGAAAGACUUGGCUAUCUGCCUAAGCAGAUCUUUAGAAGUUCCCAUACUAUUAGGGGAGAUGGAAUGAAGACAGUACUGCUGCUGCUAACUUUUCAGUUCUCAGUCUUCGAUGUUUUUCCUUUGCAGAAAGGAAACUUCCUACGUUGGCUCGCAGUUGUAUUUUCUUGUGUGACACCAUAGAUUUGUGCCUUGAAAUGGGGUUGUGCAGGUGAUUAAUGCUUGCACAGUAAAGGAUUCUAAUACAGUAAUGAUGGAAUAUUGUAAAGAUAAGAAUGAGGAGGCCAUGCAGAAGGGUACUGGACCAUUUGCUUACCCUUAUAAUCCUUCUGAGAAUUUCGUGAAAAAAGAAUGGUCUUUUUCUGACUCGGAACACAUAAGGAACCUUUGGGAAAUAAGUACAAUAUUUCUCUACUACAUUUCAUAGAAUCAUUGAAUCAUAUAAAAUUAGGAUUGGAAGGGACCUUAAGAGGUAACCUAGUCCAAUCCCCUGGUCAAAGCAGGACUAUCCCUCAACUAGAUCAUCCCAGAAAAGGCUUUGUCUAGCUGGGUCUUAAAAAUCUCCAAGGAUGGAGAAUCCACAACCUCUCUGGGCAGCCUGUUCCAGUGUUUUACUACCCUCCUAGUGAAAGUUUUUUUUUUUUCUUUUUUAAUGUCUAACCUAAACUUCCCCUGCUGCAACUUUAGACCGCUGUACUCCAGGAGAUGAGUAUGAGCGUUCCACAUUUAAGGAAUGGGCUAUCAAGCUGGAAUAUUAAACUUCAAAGCAGGUAGCAAGGUAAUCAACCCUGGGAGUAGGAUGUUUUUAAUGCCAAUGGAAGUGUAAGCUCCUUUAUUACAGAGUAGGUGUUUAGCACAAUUGAAAGCUAUGAAGAUGUCAGUUUCUCUAACAGCAGGUGGUCCUCCCAUAUCAUAUGUUUUCCUGAUACUGAGAGAGUGGUGUGAAUCUUGGUCCACAAAUAAAAUCUAUCAAGGCUGAUGCCACUGAUGCCCAGUAUGGAUACUGGUGUUGAGAAAAGUAGCAUAGAAGAAAUUAGUGCUGAGAAGCUUGCUGCAUAAUCCAGCACUGAAGUCCUUGAUGUCAUAAUGCUUCCCAAAAGUCCAGCUUCAACUUCAGGAUGCUGAAAUCUCAGUAAGCAUCAAGCAAGCAUAAAGACAAUUGGGAUAUGUGAGCAACAACAGUGAAAUGUAUAUAACAACAUUCUAGGAAGGAACAGGAGGUUAUAGAGGAGACUUUCCUAUUCUGAAAGCUAUAAUUCAAAUCUAUUUUUAAAAAUCAAAACAGUUGAUCUAUCAGACUUGACUAUGACUAAAAUGCUCUUAAAUUAGGGAACUAUACACUAAUGAAACAACACACAUUAAAAUUAUAUUGUAUCUCUAUUCCUUGCACACAACCAGCAACAUUGUUUAUUACAUUCCACUAUUUUAAAGCUGUAUAAAACUCAAAAGAUAAAAAGUUGUACAAAUACAACAGAAGGCAUAAUUUGCAGCCAACAAUGCUGUGUAAGUGUAGACUUAAUUUAGCUUGCAUUACCUUAUUAAUGGAUUGGCAGCUAAAAAAAAACCCAACAAAAACAAAACCCCAGACCCCAAAAAAUGUCGUCUUUCAUUGUAAACCCAAGAACAUUUGAUCUACAAGUUCUUGAAAAACAAACCUGUUGC